AAGCGGAAAAUACCAACUGUAAGACUUGAGAAAAAUCGAUCAAUUUAUUAUGAUAAUGGGGAAUGACUUUUACUAAAGCUUCAGCGCAAGAACUAUUGGUUUGAAAAAAUGACAAAGAUUUUAACCAAUUAAUGUAGAGAUCAUUUUUAUCAGUAGUUAAGGAAGCUAGCGGGUUAUGUGAAUCAGAAGCGUUAAGCUUUUUAGUUGGUAGCUCAUUUUCUCUGGAUUCACGUUGACGAUCAGAGGCUUUUCUUUUACGCGACGAACCUUGCAUAUUAAAAUCAUUGGCAUUCCCUAAAUGAAAAUGGGCUCCAUGGUCUGAUAAAUGAGUGCGAUCUUCAAAAUUUUGGUUGUAUACAUACGAAGAUUUCUCCAAAUGCUUACUUCGAGGCCCUGUAUCUCUAUUAUC